rnacentral:rRNA from 1 species
UGGCUAAGCAUGGUCGGACAUCAUGCGGUUAGUGCAAAGGCAUAAGCCAGCUUGACUGCGAGAGUGACGGCUCGAGCAGGUACGAAAGUAGGUCUUAGUGAUCCGGUGGUUCUGAAUGGAAGGGCCAUCGCUCAACGGAUAAAAGGUACUCCGGGGAUAACAGGCUGAUACCGCCCAAGAGUUCAUAUCGACGGCGGUGUUUGGCACCUCGAUGUCGGCUCAUCACAUCCUGGGGCUGAAGUAGGUCCCAAGGGUAUGGCUGUUCGCCAUUUAAAGUGGUACGCGAGCUGGGUUUAGAACGUCGUGAGACAGUUCGGUCCCUAUCUGCCGUGGGCGUUGGAAGAUUGAAAGGGGCUGCUCCUAGUACGAGAGGACCGGAGUGGACGCACCACUGGUGUUCGGGUUGUCAUGCCAAUGGCAUUGCCCGGUAGCUAAGUGCGGAAGAGAUAACCGCUGAAAGCAUCUAAGCGGGAAACUUGCCUUGAGAUGAGUCUU